CCAGAGGCGAAAGCGAUCUGCUGGGCCUGACCUGACGCUGAGAUGCGAAAGCCAGGGGAGCGAACGGGAUUAGAUACCCCGGUAGUCCUGGCCAUAAACGAUGUCAACUAGGUCGGAGGUUCUCUGACGGAUUUCCGGCCGAAAUGAAAACGUUAAGUUGACCGCCUGGGGAGUACGGUCGCAAGGCUAAAACUCAAAGGAAUUGACGGGUGCUCACACAAGCGGUGGAGCAUGUUGCUUAAUUCGAUGCAACGCGAAGAACCUUAUCCUGGGCUUGACAUGCUUGGAUGCCUACCUGGAAACAGGAUCGGCUGCCCUUCGGGGUGAAACUUGCACAGGUGCUGCAUGGCUGUCGUCAGCUCGUGUCGUGAGAUGUCGGGUUAAGUCCCUUAACGAGCGAAACCCUUGUCGUUAGUUGCCAGCGAGUAAUGUCGGGGACUCUAACGAGACUGCCGGUGUUAAACCGGAGGAAGGUGGGGAUGACGUCAAGUCCUCAUGGCCUUUAUGCCCAGGGCUGCAAACGUGCUACAAUGGUCGGUACAAACCGAAGCAAGACCGCGAGGUGGAGCAAAUCGGAAAAAGCCGGCCCCAGUUCGGAUUGGAGUCUGCAACUCGACUCCAUGAAGUUGGAAUCGCUAGUAAUCGUACAUCAGCGCGGUACGGCGAAUGUGUUCCUGAGCAUUGUACACACCGCCCGUCAAGUCAUGGAAG
rnacentral:rRNA from 1 species